GAUAAACGCUGGCGGCGUGCUUAACACAUGCAAGUCGAACGGAAAGGCCCAAGCUUGCUUGGGUACUCGAGUGGCGAACGGGUGAGUAACACGUGGGUGAUCUGCCCUGCACUUCGGGAUAAGCCUGGGAAACUGGGUCUAAUACCGGAUAGGACGAUGGUUUGGAUGCCAUUGUGGAAAGUUUUUUCGGUGUGGGAUGAGCUCGCGGCCUAUCAGCUUGUUGGUGGGGUAAUGGCCUACCAAGGCGUCGACGGGUAGCCGGCCUGAGAGGGUGUACGGCCACAUUGGGACUGAGAUACGGCCCAGACUCCUACGGGAGGCAGCAGUGGGGAAUAUUGCACAAUGGGCGCCAGCCUGAUGCAGCGACGCCGCGUGGGGGAUGACGGCCUUCGGGUUGUAAACUCCUUUCGCUAGGGACGAAGCGUUUUUGUGACGGUACCUGGAGAAGAAGCACCGGCUAACUACGUG
rnacentral:rRNA from 1 species